rnacentral:RNase_P_RNA from 2 species
GACGCAGGCCGCCUUAUCGCCACGCUUUAAAGCUUGGAGGAAAGUCCGGACACCAAAGGGAAGCAUAGUGGUUAACAGCCACCGGCCGAAAGGUUAGGACAAGUGCAGCAGAAAGAAUGUACAGGUAAUGCUGUAGUGAAACCAGGUAAACUCUAUGCGGUGCAAUACCAUGUAUACCGGCGCUUAAGAUUGCCCGAUCAAUGCCGGAGGGUAGGUAGCUAGAGAUUUUUGGCAACAAAAAUUCGAGAUAAAUGAUAAGGGUUCUAAUUUAUUAGAAUACAGAAUCCGGCUUAUAGGCCUGCUAUUUUU